rnacentral:lncRNA from 1 species
GCUCUUCCUCAGCCAAAAGAUGUCCAUGUGGCGGCUUAUGCUUUGGUGGUGGCUUAUUACCCUUAUGUGAGUCCUCUACAACCUCUGUAGCUAAAAGACGUCUGAGGGGUGGUUUGUGCUCUGGUGGUGGCUUGUGCGGUGGUUUGUGCUCGGAUGAUGGCUUUUGAGGUGGAAAAUUCUUAGGAGGUGGUUUCUCUCCCUUACCCUUAAAUGGCGGUUUUUGGAAGUCCUCUACGCUAUCCUCGCUUAAUAGGUGCCCAUGUGGUGGCUUGUGUGGUGGUUUGUGCUCUGGUGUUGGCUUUUGAGGUGGAAAAUUCUUAGGUGGUGGCUUUUGAGGUGGAAAAUUCUUAGGAGGUGGGUUCUCUCCCUUACCCUUAAAUGGUGGUUUUUGGAAGUCCUCUUCGCUAUCCUCACUUAAUAGGUGACCAUGUGGUGGCUUGUGUGGGGGGUUGUGCUCUGGGGGUGGCUUUUGAGGUGGGAAAUUCUUAGGUGGUGGCUUUUGAGGUGGAAAAUUCUUAGGAGGUGGGUUCUCUCCCUUACCCUUAAAUGGUGGUUUUUGGAAGUCCUCUUCGCUAUCCUCACUUAAUAGGUGACCAUGUGGUGGCUUGUGUGGUGGGUUGUGGUCUGGUGUUGGCUUUUGAGGUGGAAAAUUCUUAGGAGGUGGUUUCUCUCCCUUACCCUUGUAAGGUGGAUCAUGGACAUCCUCUACAUUAUCCUCACUUAACAGAUGACCAUGUGGUGGCUUGUGCUGUGAGUGGUGGUGAUCAUAAUGAUCAGCUAAUGAAGAAGAAAUGGAGAGAAUCACGACUGCUCCAAUAAGGAGCAACACUCGCAAGUUUUUAGAAGAGAACAUGUUUGA